rnacentral:rRNA from 1 species
GACGAACGCUGGCGGCGUGCUUAACACAUGCAAGUCGAACGAUGAAGCCGGAGCUUGCUCUGGUGAAUUAGUGGCGAACGGGUGAGUAACACGUGAGUAACCUGCCCCGAACUCUGGGAUAACUGCUGGAAACGGUAGCUAAUACUGGAUACGACCAACGAAGGCAUCUUCUGUUGGUGGAAAGAAUUUCGGUUCGGGAUGGACUCGCGGCCUAUCAGCUUGUUGGUGAGGUAACGGCUCACCAAGGCGUCGACGGGUAGCCGGCCUGAGAGGGUGACCGGCCACGCUGGGACUGAGACACGGCCCAGACUCCUACGGGAGGCAGCAGUGGGGAAUAUUGCACAAUGGGCGGAAGCCUGAUGCAGCAACGCCGCGUGAGGGAUGACGGCCUUCGGGUUGUAAACCUCUUUUAGCAGGGAAGAAGCGAGAGUGACGGUACCUGCAGAAAAAGCACCGGCUAACUACGUGCCAGCCGCCGCAGUAA